AACGAACGCUGGCGGCAGGCUUAACACAUGCAAGUCGAGCGCCUCGCAAGAGGAGCGGCAGACGGGUGAGUAACACGUGGGAAUCUACCCAUCCCUGCGGAACAACUCCGGGAAACUGGAGCUAAUACCGCAUACGCCCUUAGGGGGAAAGAUUUAUCGGGGAUGGAUGAGCCCGCGUUGGAUUAGCUAGUUGGUGGGGUAAAGGCCUACCAAGGCGACGAUCCAUAGCUGGUCUGAGAGGAUGAUCAGCCACAUCGGGACUGAGACACGGCCCAAACUCCUACGGGAGGCAGCAGUGGGGAAUAUUGGACAAUGGGCGCAAGCCUGAUCCAGCCAUGCCGCGUGAGUGAUGAAGGCCUUAGGGUUGUAAAGCUCUUUCACCGAUGAAGAUAAUGACGGUAGUCGGAGAAGAAGCCCCGGCUAACUUCGUGCCAGCCGCCGCGGUAAAAC
rnacentral:rRNA from 1 species